rnacentral:rRNA from 1 species
AGCUUGAUUGCAAGACAUACAGGUCGAGCAAGGAUGAAAAUCGGACUUAGUGAUCCGGUGGUUCUGCGUGGAAGGGCCAUCGCUCAACGGAUAAAAGCUACCCUGGGGAUAACAGGCUUAUCUCCCCCAAGAGUCCACAUCGACGGGGAGGUUUGGCACCUCGAUGUCGGCUCAUCACAUCCUGGGGCUGUAGUAGGUCCCAAGGGUUGGGCUGUUCGCCCAUUAAAGUGGUACGCGAGCUGGGUUCAGAACGUCGUGAGACAGUUCGGUCCCUAUCCGUCGCAGGCGUAGGAAAUUUGAGAAGACCUGUCCUUAGUACGGGAGGACCGGGAUGGACGUACCUCUGGUGUACCAGUUGUCCUGCCAAGGGCAUGGCUGGGUAGCUAUGUACGGAAUGGAUAAGCGCUGAAAGCAUCUAAGCGCGAAGCCAACUUCAAGAUAAGAUUUCCCACCGCAAGGGUAAGACCCCAGAAAGACUAUCUGGUUGAUAGGUCGAAGGUGUAAGUGCAGCAAUGUAUUUAGCUUAUCGAUACUAAUAGGUCGAGGACUUGACCAAU